GACGAACGCUGGCGGCGUGCCUAAUACAUGCAAGUCGAGCGGACCGGAUUGGGGCUUGCCUUGAUUCGGUCAGCGGCGGACGGGUGAGUAACACGUGGGCAACCUGCCCGCAAGACCGGGAUAACUCCGGGAAACCGGAGCUAAUACCGGAUAACACCGAAGACCGCAUGGUCUUCGGUUGAAAGGCGGCCUUUGGGCUGUCACUUGCGGAUGGGCCCGCGGCGCAUUAGCUAGUUGGUGAGGUAACGGCUCACCAAGGCGACGAUGCGUAGCCGGCCUGGGAGGGUGACCGGCCACACUGGGACUGAGACACGGCCCAGACUCCUACGGGAGGCAGCAGUAGGGAAUCUUCCGCAAGGGGCGAAAGCCUGACGGAGCGACGCCGCGUGAGCGAAGAAGGCCUUCGGGUCGUAAAGCUCUGUUGUGAGGGACGAAGGAGCGUCGUUCGAAGAGGGCGGCGCGGUGACGGUACCUCACGAGAAAGCCCCGGCUAACUACGUG
rnacentral:rRNA from 1 species